CUAAACUAUUUUUAAUCAUUCACACAUAUCGUCACAUUCUCCGGGGUGCUCCUUAGCUUUCGCAAAGCUUUAGUGGGGUCGGCUGAAUGGGAUAUGUGGACGCCUAAC
rnacentral:sRNA from 1 species